GUUCUUGUCAUUUUAUUUUUACAACUGAUUAAUGGGAAACAACUAAGAGGUGUAUGCUAUUUCUUCAUUAGUGAAGGGCUGAAGAUCAAAGGACUUAACAAUAUCUACUCAAAAUUAGAAGGAGUGCAUGUCUCGUUUUUAUUCUUUCCGUUUUCCACGUAACUGUCUUAUUUUUUACUCUUGCAUUAAAAUAUCAAAUUAUUUGUCAUUUUAAAGUUAUAUUUAGAGGGGCGUU
rnacentral:lncRNA from 1 species